GCCGAGCCUGAUGACUCCUCUGGGAUUGUUGCUUCUGUGAAAGCCACGACAAAGGCCCCGCUGCCGGUCCCUCCUCAGCUGCUCGCCCUCGCCCCACAGCUUGGGGUAGAAGAACAGGCGCCUAAUGUGUUGAGACAAAAGCCUGGGAUAACAUCAGCUCCAUUUCUUCCUGAAG